rnacentral:rRNA from 1 species
GAUGAACGCUGGCGGCGUGCCUAAUACAUGCAAGUCGAGCGAACAGACGAGGAGCUUGCUCCUCUGACGUUAGCGGCGGACGGGUGAGUAACACGUGGAUAACCUACCUAUAAGACUGGGAUAACUUCGGGAAACCGGAGCUAAUACCGGAUAAUAUAUUGAACCGCAUGGUUCAAUAGUGAAAGACGGUUUUGCUGUCACUUAUGGAUGGAUCCGCGCCGCAUUAGCUAGUUGGUAAGGUAACGGCUUACCAAGGCGACGAUGCGUAGCCGACCUGAGAGGGUGAGCGGCCACACUGGAACUGAGACACGGUCCAGACUCCUACGGGAGGCAGCAGUAGGGAAUCUUCCGCAAUGGGCGAAAGCCUGACGGAGCAACGCCGCGUGAGUGAUGAAGGUCUUCGGAUCGUAAAACUCUGUUAUUAGGGAAGAACAAAUGUGUAAGUAACUAUGCACGUCUUGACGGUACCUAAUCAGAAAGCCACGGCUAACUACGUG